rnacentral:rRNA from 1 species
UGGGGAAUUUUGGACAAUGGGCGAAAGCCUGAUCCAGCAAUGCCGCGUGUGUGAAGAAGGCCUUCGGGUUGUAAAGCACUUUUGUCCGGAAAGAAAUCCUUGGCUCUAAUACAGUCGGGGGAUGACGGUACCGGAAGAAUAAGCACCGGCUAACUACGUGCCAGCAGCCGCGGUAAUACGUAGGGUGCAAGCGUUAAUCGGAAUUACUGGGCGUAAAGCGUGCGCAGGCGGUUUGCUAAGACCGAUGUGAAAUCCCCGGGCUCAACCUGGGAACUGCAUUGGUGACUGGCAGGCUAGAGUAUGGCAGAGGGGGGUAGAAUUCCACGUGUAGCAGUGAAAUGCGUAGAGAUGUGGAGGAAUACCGAUGGCGAAGGCAGCCCCCUGGGCCAAUACUGACGCUCAUGCACGAAAGCGUGGGGAGCAAACAGGAUUAGAUACCCUGGUAGUCCACGCCCUAAACGAUAUCAACUAGUUGUUGGGGAUUCAUUUCCUUAGUAACGUAGCUAACGCGUGAAGUUGACCGCCUGGGGAGUACGGUCGCAAGAUUAAAACUUAAAGGAAUUGACGGGGUCAUAGCUGUUUCCU